rnacentral:rRNA from 1 species
AUUGAACGCUGGCGGCAGGCCUAACACAUGCAAGUCGAGCGGAUGAAGGGAGCUUGCUCCUGGAUUCAGCGGCGGACGGGUGAGUAAUGCCUAGGAAUCUGCCUGGUAGUGGGGGAUAACGUCCGGAAACGGGCGCUAAUACCGCAUACGUCCUGAGGGAGAAAGUGGGGGAUCUUCGGACCUCACGCUAUCAGAUGGGCCUAGGUCGGAUUAGCUAGUUGGUGGGGUAAAGGCCUACCAAGGCGACGAUCCGUAACUGGUCUGAGAGGAUGAUCAGUCACACUGGAACUGAGACACGGUCCAGACUCCUACGGGAGGCAGCAGUGGGGAAUAUUGGACAAUGGGCGAAAGCCUGAUCCAGCCAUGCCGCGUGUGUGAAGAAGGUCUUCGGAUUGUAAAGCACUUUAAGUUGGGAGGAAGGGCAGUAAGUUAAGACCUUGCUGUUUUGACGUUACCAACAGAAUAAGCACCGGCGAACUUCGU